AACGAACGCUGGCGGCAUGCCUAACACAUGCAAGUCGAACGAGACCUUCGGGUCUAGUGGCGCACGGGUGCGUAACACGUGGGAACCUGCCUUUAGGUUCGGUAUCACUCAGAGUAAUUUGAGCUAAUACCGGUUGAUGUCUUCGGACCAAAGAUUUAUCGCCUUUAGAUGGGCCCGCGUUGGAUUCGCUAGUUGGUGGGGUAAAGGCCUACCAAGGCGACGUUCCAUAGCUGGUCUGUGAGGAUGAUCCGCCACACUGGGACUGAGACACGGCCCAGACUCGGACGGGAGGCAGCAGUGGGGAAUAUUGGACAAGGGGGGAAAGCGUGGUCCAGCAAUGCCGCGUGAGUGAUGAAGGGCUUAGGGUUGUAAAGCUCUUUUACACGAGACGAUAAUGACAGUAUCGGGAGAAUAAGCACCGGCUAACUCCGUG
rnacentral:rRNA from 1 species